rnacentral:rRNA from 1 species
GUGAAACGCCAGUCUAAGUUCCUUGGAACAGGACGUCAUAGAGGGUGAGAAUCCCGUAUGUGACUGGAAAUGUUAACCUAUGUAAAGCUCCUUCGACGAGUCGAGUUGUUUGGGAAUGCAGCUCUAAAUGGGAGGUAAAUUUCUUCUAAAGCUAAAUAUUGGCGAGAGACCGAUAGCGCACAAGUAGAGUGAUCGAAAGAUGAAAAGCACUUUGGAAAGAGAGUUAAAAAGCACGUGAAAUUGUUGAAAGGGAAGCGCUUGCAAUCAGACUUGUUUAAACUGUUCGGCCGGUCUUCUGACCGGUUUACUCAGUUUGGACAGGCCAGCAUCAGUUUCGGCGGCCGGAUAAAGGCUCUGGGAAUGUGGCCUUCACUUCGGUGAAGGUGUUAUAGCCCAGGGUGUAAUACGGCCAGCCGGGACUGAGGUCCGCGCUUCGGCUAGGAUGCUGGCGUAAUGGUUGUAAG